rnacentral:rRNA from 1 species
GACGAACGCUGGCGGCGUGCUUAACACAUGCAAGUCGAACGAUGAACUUGGAGCUUGCUCUGGGGGAUUAGUGGCGAACGGGUGAGUAACACGUGAGUAACCUCCCCUGGACUCUGGGAUAACUUCGAGAAAUCGGAGCUAAUACCGGAUAGGACCUUGCACCGCAUGGUGUGGGGUGGAAAGUUUUUCGGUUUGGGAUGGACUCGCGGCCUAUCAGCUUGUUGGUGAGGUAAUGGCUCACCAAGGCGUCGACGGGUAGCCGGCCUGAGAGGGUGACCGGCCACACUGGGACUGAGCCACGGCCCAGGAUCCUACGGGAGGGAGAAGUGGAGAAUGAUGCACAAUGGGCGCAAGCAUGAUGCAGCAACGCCGCGUGCGGGAUGACGGCCUUCGGGUUGUAAACCUCUUUAAGCAGGGAAGAAGCGAGAGUGACGGUACCUGCAGAAAAAGCGCCGGCUAACUACGUGCCAGCAGCCGCCGUAACAC